AAACCAACAGGGAUUACCUCAGUAACGGCGAGUGAAGCGGUAACAGCUCAAAUUUGAAAUCUGGUCCGUUACGGGCCCGAGUUGUAAUUUGUAGAAGAUGCUUUGGUGACGAGUCCGGCCUAAGUUCCUUGGAACAGGACGUCAUAGAGGGUGAGAACCCCGUAUGCGGCCGGGUGCUCGAUGCUAUGUAAAGCCCUUUCGACGAGUCGAGUUGUUUGGGAAUGCAGCUCAAAAUGGGUGGUAUAUUUCAUCUAAAGCUAAAUAUUGGCCAGAGACCGAUAGCGCACAAGUAGAGUGAUCGAAAGAUGAAAAGCACUUUGGAAAGAGAGUUAAACAGUACGUGGAAUUGUUGAAAGGGAAGCGCUUGCAACCAGACUUGGGCACUGUGGAUCAUCCGAGGUUCUCCUCGGUGCACUCGGCAGUGCGCAGGCCAGCAUCAGUUUGGGUGGUUGGAUAAAGACUUGUGGAAUGUAGCUCCUUUCGGGGAGUGUUAUAGCCACAGGUGCCAUGCGACCAACCCGGACUGAGGACCGCGCUUCGGCUAGGAUGCUGGCGUAAUGGUUGUAAGCG
rnacentral:rRNA from 1 species